rnacentral:rRNA from 1 species
ACCAGACUCCUACGGGAGGCAGCAGUGGGGAAUAUUGGGCAAUGGGCGCAAGCCUGACCCAGCAACGCCGCGUGAAGGAAGAAGGCUUUCGGGUUGUAAACUUCUUUUGACAGGGAAGAGCAGAAGACGGUACCUGUCGAAUAAGCCACGGCUAACUACGUGCCAGCAGCCGCGGUAAUACGUAGGUGGCAAGCGUUGUCCGGAUUUACUGGGUGUAAAGGGCGUGUAGCCGGGCUGACAAGUCAGAUGUGAAAUCCGGGGGCUCAACCCCCGAACUGCAUUUGAAACUGUUGGUCUUGAGUAUCGGAGAGGCAGGCGGAAUUCCUAGUGUAGCGGUGAAAUGCGUAGAUAUACGGAGGAACACCAGUGGCGAAGGCGGCCUGCUGGACAUUAACUGACGCUGAGGCGCGAAAGCGUGGGGAGCAAACAGGAUUAGAUACCCCCGUAUUC